UCCUACGGGAGGCAGCAGUGAGGAAUCUUCCACAAUGGGGGAAACCCUGAUGGAGCAACGCCGCGUGCAGGAUGAAGGCCUUCGGGUUGUAAACUACUUUUAUAAGUGAAGAAUAUGACGGUAACUUAUGAAUAAGCACCGGCUAACUACGUGCCAGCAGCCGCGGUAAU
rnacentral:rRNA from 1 species